rnacentral:rRNA from 1 species
AGUGAACGCUGGCGGUAGGCCUAACACAUGCAAGUCGAACGGCAGCACAAUAAGAGCUUGCUCUUACGGGUGGCGAGUGGCGGACGGGUGAGGAAUACAUCGGAAUCUACUUUUUCGUGGGGGAUAACGUAGGGAAACUUACGCUAAUACCGCAUACGACCUACGGGUGAAAGCAGGGGAUCUUCGGACCUUGCGCGAUUGAAUGAGCCGAUGUCGGAUUAGCUAGUUGGCGGGGUAAAGGCCCACCAAGGCGACGAUCCGUAGCUGGUCUGAGAGGAUGAUCAGCCACACUGGAACUGAGACACGGUCCAGACUCCUACGGGAGGCGGCAGUGGGGAAUAUUGGACAAUAGGCGCAAGCCUGAUCCAGCCAUACCGCGUGGGUGAAGAAGGCCUUCGGGUUGUAAAGCCCUUUUGUUGGGAAAGAAAAGCAGCAGGUUAAUACCCCGCUGUUCUGACGGUACCCAAAGAAUAAGCACCGGCUAACUUCGUG